AGCCGAAUUAAGGUGAAACCGCGAAAGGCUCAUUAAAUCAGUUAUGGUUCCUUAGAUCGUACCCACAUUUACUUGGAUAACUGUGGUAAUUCUAGAGCUAAUACAUGCAAACAGAGCUCCGACCGGAGACGGAAGGAGCGCUUUUAUUAGAUCAAAACCAAUCGGCGUCGGGCUCGCCCGUCGUCGUACCCACUGGUGAAUCGGAAUAACUUUCUCUGAUCGCAUGGUCUCGCACCGGCGACGCAUCUUUCAAAUGUCUGCCUUAUCAACUGUCGAUGGUAGGUUCUGCGCCUACCAUGGUUGUAACGGGUAACGGGGAAUCAGGGUUCGAUUCCGGAGAGGGAGCCUGAGAAACGGCUACCACAUCCAAGGAAGGCAGCAGGCGCGCAAAUUACCCACUCCCGGCACGGGGAGGUAGUGACGAAAAAUAACGAUACGGGACUCAUCCGAGGCCCCGUAAUCGGAAUGAGUACAAUCUAAACCCUUUAACGAGGAUCAAUUGGAGGGCAAGUCUGGUGCCAGCAGCCGCGGUAAUUCCAGCUCCAAUAGCGUAUAUUAAAGUUGUUGCGGUUAAAAAGCUCGUAGUCGAAUUUGUGUCCCGCGCCGCCGGUUCAUCGCACGCGGUGUUUAACUGGCGUGUCCGCGGGAUGUCCUGCCGGUGGGCUACUCGCAAGGGUGCCCAACUCAAUCCCACCGCGGUGCUCUUGACUGAGUGUCGAGGUGGGCCGGCACGUUUACUUUGAACAAAUUAGAGUGCUUAAAGCAGGCUAAAACUUCGCCUGAAUACCGUGUGCAUGGAAUAAUGGAAUAGGACCUCGGUUCUAUUUUGUUGGUUUUCGGAACCCCGAGGUAAUGAUUAAUAGGAACGGAUGGGGGCAUUCGUAUUGCGACGUUAGAGGUGAAAUUCUUGGAUCGUCGCAAGACGAACAGAAGCGAAAGCAUUUGCCAAAAACGUUUUCAUUGAUCAAGAACGAAAGUUAGAGGUUCGAAGGCGAUCAGAUACCGCCCUAGUUCUAACCAUAAACGAUGCCAGCUAGCGAUCCGCCGACGUUAAUUCGAUGACUCGGCGGGCAGCUUCCGGGAAACCAAAGCUUUUGGGUUCCGGGGGAAGUAUGGUUGCAAAGCUGAAACUUAAAGGAAUUGACGGAAGGGCACCACCAGGAGUGGAGCCUGCGGCUUAAUUUGACUCAACACGGGAAACCUCACCAGGCCCGGACACCGGAAGGAUUGACAGAUUGAGAGCUCUUUCUUGAUUCGGUGGGUGGUGGUGCAUGGCCGUUCUUAGUUGGUGGAGCGAUUUGUCUGGUUAAUUCCGGUAACGAACGAGACUCUAGCCUGCUAAAUAGGCGUAUUUCCGACAUCUCAAAGGCCCGCCGGUCCGGCGUUCGCGCCGUGGCCGUGCGCGGUUUUUACUGUCGGCGUACACACAAUUCUUCUUAGAGGGACAGGCUGCUUCUUAGCCGCACGAGAUUGAGCAAUAACAGGUCAGUGAUGCCCUUAGAUGUUCUGGGCCGCACGCGCGCUACACUGAAGGAAUCAGCGUGUCCUCCCUGGCCGAGAGGCCCGGGUAACCCGCUGAACCUCCUUCGUGCUAGGGAUUGGGGCUUGCAAUUAUUCCCCAUGAACGAGGAAUUCCCAGUAAGCGCGAGUCAUAAGCUCGCGUUGAUUACGUCCCUGCCCUUUGUACACACCGCCCGUCGCUACUACCGAUUGAAUGAUUUAGUGAGGUCUUCGGACCGGUACGCGGCGGCGUCCCCGUCC
rnacentral:rRNA from 1 species